rnacentral:lncRNA from 1 species
UUGUCAUCAUCCUCAUGCUUAUAUUGUGAUGAAAGUCAUCUUUGGCUUACGUGCAUAGAUGGACUUGGUAUGAUUAUGUCCAGGGAUCAUUCGGUAUAAUCAUGACCUGUAAUGUUAUAAAUGAUGUGGUAAAAGUCUUCAGUGGCCUGUAGUGCAUUGAUGGACAGUUUUUGGUAUCAUUAUGACCAGGGAUUAUUCGGUAUAAUCAUGAUCAUUGAUGAUUUAAU